rnacentral:lncRNA from 1 species
GAGGUGACGAGUCAUGAGGUGGUGCCACCAACUGAAAGUUUCCUAUGGUGACCUGGCUAGGAAAUAGGAGGCUGGUGCUAACUAGAAAUGAAGUCUUGAAAAGUGAAACUCUGAAGAAUCCACUCCUGUACUUGAUGGUCCUGGAAGCGUGAGCCAGCCAUCACACCAGCCAUCACACCAGCCAUCACACCAGCCAUCACACCAGCCAUCACACCACCAAGCGUGAGCCAUCACACCACCAAGAGCUGUAGUAUGAUGACUCUAGCUGAUGUCACGUUAACAACUAACCAGCCAGCACAACUAGCCUCAUGGAUGCGUCAGAUAGAACACGGAUAUUAAGACAAACAGCCUGACCCAAGACUGCUGACUCAGCUCUCCAUCUCCUGAUCUCUUCCCACAGCUCAGGACGGAACAGAUCAGCCCCUGCUCACUGCAGUGAUUUUUUUUUUUUUUUUUAUCAUUUUUGUAAUGAGACAGAGGGGUCAACAGAAAAUAUUUUGGAAUGAAAAUAAAAAGGCCUAUGAGGGAGAA